GUCUCCGUGGCGCAAUUGGUUAGAGCCAUCUGCUGAUAACUCAAAGGUUGUGGUUCAAUCCCACCUGGAGACG
rnacentral:tRNA from 1 species